rfam:Camelus ferus unplaced genomic scaffold scaffold1608, whole genome shotgun sequence.
GAGGGUAUAGCUCUGUGGUAGAGUACAUGCUUAGCAUGCAUGAGGUCCUGGGUUCAAUCCUCAGUCCCUCCA